UAAGGAAUAUUGGUCAAUGGACGCAAGUCUGAACCAGCCAUGCCGCGUGAAGGAUUAAGGUCCUCUGGAUUGUAAACUUCUUUUAUCUGGGACGAAAAAAGGCGAUUCUUCGUCACUUGACGGUACCAGAUGAAUAAGCACCGGCUAACUCCGUGCCAGCAGCCGCGGUAAUACGAAGGGUGCAAGCGUUAUCCGGAUUCACUGGGUUUAAAGGGUACGUAGGCGGGCAGGUAAGUCAGUGGUGAAAUCCUAGAGCUUAACUCUAGAACUGCCAUUGAUACUAUCUGUCUUGAAUAUUGUGGAGGUAAGCGGAAUAUGUCAUGUAGCGGUGAAAUGCUUAGAUAUGACAUAGAACACCUAUUGCGAAGGCAGCUUACUACGCAUAUAUUGACGCUGAGGCACGAAAGCGUGGGGAUCAAACAGGAUUAGAUACCCUGGUAGUCCACGCCCUAAACGAUGAUUACUCGACAUUUGUGAUACACUAUAAGUGUCUGAGCGAAAGCAUUAAGUAAUCCACCUGGGAAGUACGACCGCAAGGUUGAAACUCAAAGGAAUUGACGGGGUCAUAGCUGUUUCCUG
rnacentral:rRNA from 1 species